rnacentral:rRNA from 1 species
AGUGAACGCUGGCGGUAGGCCUGACACAUGCAAGUCGAACGGCAGCACGGGAGAGCUUGCUCUCUGGGUGGCGAGUGGCGGACGGGUGAGGAACACAUCGGAAUCUACUCUGUCGUGGGGGAUAACGUAGGGAAACUUACGCUAAUACCGCAUACGACCUACGGGUGAAAGCAGGGGACCUUCGGGCCUUGCGCGAUUGAAUGAGCCGAUGUCGGAUUAGCUAGUUGGCGGGGUAAAGGCCCACCAAGGCGACGAUCCGUAGCUGGUCUGAGAGGAUGAUCAGCCACACUGGAACUGAGACACGGUCCAGACUCCUACGGGAGGCAGCAGUGGGGAAUAUUGGACAAUGGGCGCAGGCCUGAUCCAGCCAUACCGCGUGGGUGAAGAGGGCCUUCGGGUUGUAAAGCCCUUUUGUUGGGAAAGAAAUCCAGCUGGCUAAUACCCGGUUGGGAUGACGGUACCCAAAGAAUAAGCACCGGCUAACUUCGUGCCAGCCGCCGCGGUAA